AGGCAAUAAUAUUACAGCUAUAUAAUGAUAAGAUACGUGUUUUUGUAUAUCAACUGUCUAGAAUUACAAAUUCUUAUUUAAAAAUAGGCUUUUUGUUUUUGUCUGUCAAAACGACAUGUAUUCCAUAAUAACAUGCUAACAUGUUGAACGUCAGCACGAUGAAUUCACAGCUAAAUGUGAGGCUACUGUAAGUAUAAGAUGCUACAUGCUACCAUGCUAUCCUGCGGAUGUUACAAGGCGUAAAAGACAAAGAACCUCCAGAAAACAAGAUUUAGUUUUUUGCAUUCUCGCCUCACAGUGCCGCUAAUAUUCCCCAAUACAGAUAUAUCAGUGCAUGUUUACAUCAACUGUGCGAACACCUUUUCUUUUCUUUUGUUUUUUGUUUUUUACGACGUCAGCCCACACAUUUAGCUUCCCUUUGUUGUGGCUCGAUAAACGUUUGCUGCCAGGGACAGCCUGCGCAGAAGUAGCUAACAGAUUACGUGUGGAGGAUCCUCCGCUUGGAGAAAUGUACAUGUCAGUUCUAUGAAAACCAAGAAGAGAGACGGCCAUUGGGCCACAGUGAUUUUAAAAAAACAACAGACCCCAAACUGUGCAGAACUCAACUUGACAAGUCAAUUCAACAUCACAAAAGAAGAAGAACGCAGAAAAGAUCACUUUCCCAGAAGUACAUCAGUUCAACGUUUCUCCUCCUGGAAUACUUCAUUUAGACCACAGAAGAAGUAAAACCAGGAACAACACAGCGGAUGUAUUUAAUUGAAACGGUGGACGCAAUUCCUCCCGUGCAUUCAUAUUCAAGAGUCAAUGUUGGAAAGGAAACCUCGUAACAGACUUGUGAAGCCUCGAAGUAACGUUCAUCCCAUUGUUUUACUGUAGUCGUCUAUUAAACUGUCAGCUGUUUGGGGGGGGGAGGAGGGAUUAGCACCACUCUUGUGAUCCUAAAAACAUUUUAAAUAAAGGACUUGACCUUG